AUGUCGAGCGCCGCCACCACCGGUUCCACUGCUGCGGGCUUCCUCCCGGCCUCUCUUGCGGCUCUGCUCAACCUCCCGCUCGAUGUCGUCUCUGUUCCGGCUCCGAUCGGGACAAGGAGCAUCGGCUCCGUCUUCUCCACGCCGUCGGCGCCCUCGCUUGGGCGUGACCUCGUGGUCCACAUUGCGGCGCCGCCGUCCGCUGCGGACUCCGCAGGCAUCGUCCCGCCGCUCCUGCCGCAAGCGGAUCACACUGCCCCGCUGGCGGGGUUGGCGGCGUCCGCCCCGGCCGCGGGCCUUGCGGUGUCCGCACCGGCCGCGAGCUUUGCGGCGCCCGCCCUGGCUGCGGUCCCGCCUCCUCCCGCAUCGGCUUCGGUGCCUCCGGCUGCCUCCAUGGUGUUUGCACCCCAGGCAGCCUCCUCGAUGGGAUUGUCUUCGCCGCCGCCGUUUCACUUCGGUCAUCUCAUCACCAUCAAGCUCUCCGCCGACAACUACAUCUUCUGGCGUGCGCAGGUUCUCCCGCUCUUGGGGAGUCACUACCUGCUAGGCUACGUCGACGGAUCGCUUCCCUGCCCACCCGCGCUGGUAGACAGCAUGCACGGUCCGGUCUACAAUCCGGCCCAUCGCGUCUGGACGGGGCAGGACCAGGCGAACCUCUCCUCCAUCCAGGGGUCGCUCUCGCCGGCAGUUGCCGGCCUUGUUCGACGGCGGCUUCGCCCAUUCCGUCGUGCGCCGGCGACGGCCGCCGCCGUGCCUCGGGCGGGAGCACGGAGGGAGCUCGCCGGGAGGAUGGAGGACGGCGCGGCGAAGCGGGGCAGUGGUGGUGGCGUGUGCGGCGGAGACGGCGCGCAAGGCCGGGCGGUGGCGGUGAUUGACCGGCCGUCGUGCCUCGCGCGGGAGGAUGGACGACGCUCGCCGGGGCGUGUGCGGCGCAGGCGGCUUCUGCCGCACGUUGAGGUGGAGCAGCAGAGGACGGGAAGGCAAGAAGGCAGGGUGGGUACGCUGUGCACCAGGGCCGCCUUCGUCCUCCACCUCCUCCAAAAGCGCGCGCUCGCCGCGGGCGCUGGCGGUGGCACGGCGGUCCUCGCCCUUGGUGCGCGGGUGCGCGGAUGCGUUGGGGAUCGAGGGAGCUCUCCUCCCUCGCGGCUGGAGGCGCUCGGGAUCGAGCGAGUGGGCGAGGGGAUCGGGGCCCCUGGUGGUUGCCUGCUUGGCGAUUGCACGCGAUGCUGGGCUGGCCGACUCGAUCUCCUCGACCCAGGGCCCCGUGCUCGUCAGCGCCUGCCCCAUCGCGCAUGA
rnacentral:rRNA from 1 species